rnacentral:rRNA from 1 species
GACGAACGCUGGCGGCGUGCUUAACACAUGCAAGUCGAACGGAAAGGCCCUGCUUUUGUGGGGUGCUCGAGUGGCGAACGGGUGAGUAACACGUGAGUAACCUGCCCUUGACUUUGGGAUAACUUCAAGAAACUGGGGCUAAUACCGGAUAGGAGCUCCUGCUGCAUGGUGGGGGUUGGAAAGUUUCGGCGGUUGGGGAUGGACUCGCGGCUUAUCAGCUUGUUGGUGGGGUAGUGGCUUACCAAGGCUUUGACGGGUAGCCGGCCUGAGAGGGUGACCGGCCACAUUGGGACUGCGAUACGGCCCAGACUCCUACGGGAGGCAGCAGUGGGGAAUAUUGCACAAUGGGCGGAAGCCUGAUGCAGCAACGCCGCGUGCGGGAUGACGGCCUUCGGGUUGUAAACCGCUUUCGCCUGUGACGAAGCGUGAGUGACGGUAAUGGGUAAAGAAGCACCGGCUAACUACGUG